rnacentral:rRNA from 1 species
AGCUCUGCGGUCUGUCACCGCGCUACCGUACGCAACACUGCGGAGUGUGUCGGUGGUGGUCGCUGCUGAGUGGAGCUAGGCCUGUGUGAUCGGUGCAUUUGAUGGCGGUAUGCGCCGAGAGCCGCGUCACAGUGUGCGUCAAUGUCUGCCUGGUGCAGUGGACCGUUGCAAGUCCUUCAGUGGACGGGCGGAAACCUGCAUUCGACCGAGGCGUAUCGCUGAUGCGGUGAACAGCCGUGUACAGCAGUCCCCGCGCAACAACUUGUUGCGUGCGCGUCUUGCGAUUGUCGGACUGACCGUGUGGCGGUGCGCACUGUGUGCUUGUUCGGUGCGCAGUGCGUCUGCUUCGGGUCUGGCCACAGUCGUGUGUGUUUGUGUACGCGUUGGGACUGUGUCUCGGUGUGAGUGUCGAUCACCUAUUCGACCCGUCUUGAAACACGGACCAAGGAGUCUAGCAUAUGCGCAAGUUAUUGGGUGGUAAACCCGGAGAAAACGCAAUGAAAGUAAAAUCGGCCGUUCUGACGGUCGCAAACUGUGAGCCAGUCGACUCCGACGGGCGCAACAGUGCCCCGUCUCGGUUGCCGUUGGCAACGGGGCGGAGGUAGAGCGUGUAUGCUGGGACCCGAAAGAUGGUGAACUAUGCCUGAGCAGGAUGAAGCCAGAGGAAACUCUGGUGGAGGUCCGAAGCGAUUCUGACGUGCAAAUCGAUCGUCUGACUUGGGUAUAGGGGCGAAAGACUA